GGGCCCGCACAAGCGGAGGAACAUGUGGUUUAAUUCGAUGAUACGCGAGGAACCUUACCCGGGCUCGAACGGCUUUUGGAUAUUUGAGAAAUCAGAUAGUCAGCAAUGACAGGAGUCGAGGUGCUGCAUGGUUGUCGUCAGCUCGUGCCGUGAGGUGUCGGCUUAAGUGCCAUAACGAGCGCAACCCUUACCGUUAGUUACCAUCUGGUAAAGCAGGGGACUCUAACGGGACUGCCACCGUAAGGUGUGAGGAAGGUGGGGAUGACGUCAAAUCAGCACGGCCCUUACGUCCGGGGCUACACACGUGUUACAAUGGGUAGUACAAAGGGCAGCUACUUAGCGAUAAGAUGCUAAUCUCUAAAACUACUCCCAGUUCGGAUUGGAGUCUGCAACCCGACUCCCAUGAAGCUGGAUUCGCUAGUAAUCGCGCAUCAGCCAUGGCG
rnacentral:rRNA from 1 species